GCCUUCAUGGCGCAGGGGUAACGGUAUAAAUGCAAUCUAUCAGUUCUCACGGUCUGAAAACUGACUUUUGUAUUUAGCGUCGCACUUGUAAUGCGCAAACGCAAUACAUGCGAAGAUCACAAGUUCGAAUCUUGUUGGAGGCA